rnacentral:sRNA from 1 species
UGGGGUUUCUUGUCGCUGGAGAAAUGGCACUAGCUACCAGCUGCUAGCUAGAGCCAUCCUCCAGCAACAAGACACCCUA